AGUCCCCAUAAAGCUUGCAGCUGAUUUCUUAAUAGAAACACUUCAAACCAGAAGGGAAUGGCAAGAAAUAUUCCAAGUAAUGAAAAGCAAAGGUCUGCAACCAAGAGUACUCUACCCAGUAAGGAAAUCAUUUACAAUA